rnacentral:lncRNA from 1 species
UUCAUAUCUUAAUCAAAUUUUCUUCAUACACGGUAAACUGACAUCAAACCUCUAAUUAUCUACUUAAUAUAUUCAAAUAUCUUAUUGCAUGGAUCAAUUCGUUGAUGAUAAAGAAUUGUUUUUUUAUCUCCUAGCUUUUAUUAGGAGUCUAUAUAAAAAUUAAGGGAUGGCUCUCGGUUUUGUUUAAGAAAAAUGCUUAAUGGCAAGACAUAAUAUGUCCUAAAAAACGCACGAUGCCAUUAAGCGCACAAUUAUGUGAUGUGAUAGCAAAUUGUUUUUAAAAUUUUCCUUUUGUCCUUAUCUUUUUUGUACAUGAAUAAAACUGCCUGUAAUUUUUUUUAUAUCAAAUUUUUUUUAUCAAAUAAUCUAAUAAGAAUUUCAAUGUGAAUAAACAGGUGUAGUCAGGUUCGAACUUCAAUCUUACAUUUUACAUGCAAUAUUUCUACUAACUGAUACAUGCAAUAUUUCUAUUAACCAAGUUAUUAUUAUACUCACGGAGACAAAAAAAGAUUAUAAAAAUUUUCACCACUGUUUAACGGUGUUUAAUUUCAUUCGAAGAAUAUGUUGGCGUUAUUUUAAUCAUCCAACAGAUAAAUAAGUUGUCUUUCAAAUAUAUUAAAAAGAAGAAGAGAAUAUAGGAAGACUUGCGGACUAUAGACCAAAAUGCAAGUAUGGUCAUAUAAGGAAAAAACCAAGUAAAGAAUAUGUGAACGAUUUUCACAAUCAUUUUACGAUGACUAAUUUUUCUUUGCAGAACCGUGAAAGGUUUUCAGUUGUCAAAAGUAAGGACCAAAAGUUAUUGAAAUAUUUUAUAAGAGGCAAAAAUAUAAUUUGAGAUAUUUAUAAAGACAAAAAAAUAAUUUA